ACUCAAAGGAAUUGACGGGGACCCGCACAAGCGGUGGAUCAUGUGGCUUAAUAUGACGCUACGCGUAGAACCUUACCGAGGCUUGACAUCCCUGGAACCUGCUAGAGAUAGCGGGGUGCCUUCGGGAGCCAGGUGACAGGUGCUGCAUGGCCGUCGUCAGCUCGUGUCGUGAGAUGUUGGGUUAAGUCCCGCAACGAGCGCAACCCUUAUCGUAUGUUGUAUUUUUCAUGCGAGACUGCCCGGGCCAACCGGGAGGAAGGUGGGGAUGACGUCAGGUCGGCAUGGCCCUUACGCCUCGGGCUGCACACGUGAUACAAUGGCCAGUACAACGCGCCGCGAUACCGCGAGGUGGAGCAAAUCGCAUCAAAACUGGUCCCAGUUCGGAUUGGAGGCUGCAACUCGCCUCCAUGAAGUCGGAAUCGCUAGUAAACGUGGGUCAGCACACCACGUUGAAUACGUUCCCGGGUCUUGCACACACCGCCCGU
rnacentral:rRNA from 1 species